GUAGCAGCAGAUGUAGACGACUACGGCGACAACUGGGAGGAAGAUCUGAGAACAACCUGCCUCAUCAGUGCACCUGAACGCAUCAUGUCAGCGACCGAGGAAGGAUGUAAGACACCUGAACUGACCUGUCCCAGCAUGCUUUGCGUCCAGGCGGUGUCAGAGCUGUAGAGACACAGAGCCAGAGCGCAGCCGUACUGGUACACGGCCACGCCCACGUGUUCCAGGAAGAAGAGGGAGUGGUGCGUGUGCUCGGAGUGAAGCAGGCGAACUGCAGCGCUGCAACGAGCAACUCUCUCAUCAAUCACUUUCAACCCUAAUGCAGCACAUGACUGUAAACAUCUGUAAUCAGCGUCUGACCAUUGACCACCAGCUGCAGACUCAGAACAGCUGGAGAACAUGUGGAGCAGUGAAGAGCCUGACUUCAGGAGGUGGAGACCAAACACAGACAUAAAAGACAGAGUCACCUCACAUCCCAACUUAAAACCUCUGAACAUUGGAUUCAAACAUCAAAUGAACCAUUGUGUUGACCUGUAGCUGAUGGAGGUGGGGAUGGAGGCAGACUCAGGGACGUGACAGCGGAGAAGACGUAGAGAACCAGAGGCAGCGAGGUCACGUCCACAGAGAAGUCCUGACCUUCAGGGCCCUGCAGCCUGACUCCCAGGAUCCCCUGAGGAGGUCAGAGGUCAAAGAGGUCAGACAUG